AUAGUUACAUUUUCCUGCUGUGAUUCGAUCCUCUGCUGAUUGGAAGAACACUAGGAAGAACAAGAAGUGCAGAAGGAGGAACACUGAAAAAAGCAGCAUAACAUGUCACCAUAAACAUGCUUCUUCUUCUUCUUCUUCUUCUUCUUCUUCUUCUUCUUCUUCUUCUUCUUCUUCUUCUUCUUAGGAUGUAUGGUGUGGCCCUGGAAUUGGAUUCGCAUCAGAUCAUGCUUCUGCUUCUGUGGAUUGUGUGGUGGCAAGGAAGAAUACUUCUUCAAGAAGGAACCUUGAUGCUGUUGAGAGAGCAACACAUAGGGAAGAGUGUAGAUCGGAUAUAGUAAAGUAGACAUCCUCUACUCAGAAAGUGGGAAGCAGCGAAUAAUUUUGAUGGACCAAGAAUCUCAAGAAGCAAGUAUAUUGCCAUCAUCACUAAGAAGUU